rnacentral:rRNA from 1 species
GUGAGGAAUAUUGGACAAUGGGCGCAAGCCUGAUCCAGCCAUGCCGCGUACAGGAAGACGCAUCUAUGGUGUGUAAACUGCUUUUGUACGGGAAGAAACACUCCCUCGUGAGGGAGCUUGACGGUACCGUAAGAAUAAGGAUCGGCUAACUCCGUGCCAGCAGCCGCGGUAAUACGGAGGAUCCAAGCGUUAUCCGGAAUCAUUGGGUUUAAAGGGUCCGUAGGCGGUUUAAUAAGUCAGUGGUGAAAGCCCAUCGCUCAACGAUGGAACGGCCAUUGAUACUGUUAGACUUGAAUUACAAGGAAGUAACUAGAAUAUGUAGUGUAGCGGUGAAAUGCUUAGAUAUUACAUGGAAUACCAAUUGCGAAGGCAGGUUACUACUUGUGGAUUGACGCUGAUGGACGAAAGCGUGGGGAGCGAACAGGAUUAGAUACCCCGGUAGUCC